AAAAAUAAUAAUCGUAACCCUUCGUGACUCCUCCCUGACCGGGUCCCCCAUGGGCACUGCCAAACGGGAUGCAGUUUCCCA
rnacentral:lncRNA from 1 species